GGGGGCAUAGCUCAGUGGUCGAGUGCACAUUUAGCAUGCACGAGGUCCUGGGUUCAAUCCCCAGUAUCUCCA
rnacentral:tRNA from 1 species